rnacentral:rRNA from 1 species
AACGACUCUCGGUAACGGAUAUCUCGGCUCUCGCAUCGAUGAAGAACGUAGCGAAAUACGAUACUUGGUGUGAAUUGCAGAAUCCCGUGAACCAUCGAGUUUUUGAACGCAAGUUGCGCCCAAAGCCAUUAGGCUAAGGGUACGUCUGCCUGGGCGUCACGC